CGCCGGUGCCGCUGACAGCUGCCGCCGCCGCCUGCUCCGCCAGGCCCUCCUUCAUCCAGUCUGCGAGCGACCCGAGGUCGAGCUCCUCCUCCGCCUCCUCGUGCGCCUCAACCUCAUCCGCCCAGCUACCGCUCGCGCCACCGCUGCUGCUAAUGCUGGCGCGAGGAGCAAUGCUGCUGCUGCUGCCGUCAGACUCUGACGCUGCCGCGGGCGCGGCCGGUGCGGCUUCCGCCUGCUGCUGCUCGGCCGCCGCGAGCUCCGCCAGUCCCUGCUUCACCCAGGGCGUCUGCUCAAAGAGGUCGCUCAGGUCGAGUCCGUCAGCCUCAUCCUCAUCAUCAUCGCCCCAUCGCGGCGUGGUCGAGCUGCGGUCGACGGUGGAGGUGGAGAUGGGGCUUGCAGCGGCGGCGGGCUUGGUCGGAGCCGCGAGCUUGGGCACCUUGGGCAGGCCGGGCGGCUUCUGCGGGCGCCAGUGGUUGUCGUAGGCAUGGCAAAGCUGGCAGGGGGCGCUCCUGCAGCCAGCAGAUAGGCUGGCAUAGCACCAGCGCAUGCAGGACUUGUGAGGAAAGCAGCAGGCGCUGGGGGCAGGCUCCUGCUGCUCCUGCUGGUGGGCGGCGGCGGAGGGCUCGCUCUCAUCAGAGCCGUGGCCUUGGCUGCGGGGCGUGUGGCGCCAGGCGUCCUGUGCAAACGAGAUCGGGGGAAAAGGAUAGAUGGGGGCGGACAAGCCGUGAGUGCACGGGACGAGGACAAGGGUCGGGGCGCAGAGGGCGGGACAAAGGACCGGGGGUCGGGGACUCGAGCCCCGGCAAAAAAGUCAGGCGCACCGGAAAGGCACGCGCUUUCGGUCAAAGCUGUUGACCGACGCAUUUUACGUGACAAUACAUGCAGCAAUAUGCAGCCAGUGUGGCCGCAGCAGCGCAAGAAGGAAGGCCGAGGAAGCCGAGCGCACUACCGUACUGGCCCGAAAUCUGCAACGCUAUCUAGCCCGCAUCAGAAGCCUAAUGCUUUGCAUGUGGCAUCGGAUACCCAUUGCAGUUGCUCAAGGCUCAAAAUGGCCGUGCCCGAACAUGAAUGGUGCUCACCUGCAUCGGUCGGCUCGGCUCGAAGUCAAGCCCCGGUGCACUUGCGCUUGACCGUGAUGUGGCCAUAGUAGCUCUUGACCGCAACAAGCACUCUUCGCGCGCAGAACUCGAUUCUGCUGCUAGCGCAAUUCUUUCGCUUGACGGAAACUUUUCCUCGCGGUGCCCGGGAGGGAUUCGCGCUAGGAGCUGCUAGUUCGUGACAGUGGUGGUGCUUGCCGCAGCUUUCAUGCGCAUGCGGUGGAAAUCGAGAGAGGUUGCGAACAGCCCUAGAAAUGCUCUUCUUUGCCGUCAGGUGCUCGUAGCUAAGCAGUGGGCGUAAAAGCUGUUUGCGAGAUGUCUUUGCAUCUGUUGAAUGUGCAAUAUGAGCACAGCGCGAAGCUUUUAUCCAGUGGCGGGGACAGUGUCUCGGGCGCCCAUGCAGGCGACACGCGCCCAAUCCCGAGCCUCCCUCCUCGCCUUUACCUUGUCCCUGGACCCGCGCCAUCCGUGUCCCGCUGUUCAAUUCCCGCGUUUCAUACCAGUUCCCCUCCCCUGCGCAGGCCGGUAACCCCUGAUCCCGCCGCUGCCGGGGAUGCAGCCGUGCAGGAUGAGGCCUGAUGAGGUUGACGGCUGGGGAAGUUGGUGUGGGGAAGUUGGUGUAGGUUGGCGGUGAUCCAGCGGGGUGGGUGCCGAUGUGCUAUAGCGGGCGCGAGGCUGUACACGUCAGGAUCUGGCGAGUGUACUGCUUAACACCUACCGCUACGCAGUACUCCGGCUUGCCCCUCCCCCCUCAGGGCGCUCCAUGCCGUGCGCCCCGGAAUGCGGUGUGGGGAUGGGGUGGGGUGGGAUGGACUGGCGGAUGGUGGAAGUAUCAUAUAGGUCUGCUGGGGGCUGCGAGCAGCCAUACUACCGGUCAUGAUAUUGCCUUCGGUAGCUCAGGGCGCCGCGGGCUGGGGGUGGGUAAGUGAGCGGGGAUGGGGGCUCGGACUCAGCGGGGGCACGGACUCAGGGCGUGGAAGCCAGCGAGAAGUGGGCGAGAGUAACGCCGAUGUGCCGGGUGAUGUGCGAGCAGAAUACAGAACGCGGCAUUCGUCAUUACGGGGAAACUAAAACAGAUAGCGCCAACCUUUUGCGCCUCGCGCUUUCGCGCGCAAUUUCCAGGAUCCUCCAACGCGUCGAUUCCUCCGUCUUGCGUCCUUCCGUGCCGGGAGCCUUGAUUAUCGAUACAAUUUGUGAUAUAUUGUAUGUUGCGCUGGAGCUCUAAUGCAAACGCUGCGCUUGUGCGUUUACCCCGCUCUGGCAUAGGGCUUGCGUUUUCAUAAUGUUACGCUUUGCAAUACAUACAUAGAAAGGCGCAUUAUUUGCACGACAAAUUCCGCUGCGCUCGGGUUUCAAGGUUAUAACUCAAGUCAAAACUGGAAUAACCGGGAGGGCCCCCCGCGGCGAGCUCGAUGCGACCGCAAUGGCUAUUGCCCCUCCCCCUUCGGGGGAAGGGGCAAGCCAACCUGGCUUUGUGAUGGCCCCCAAGCGUAGGUGAGGUAGGCGCACGGCGGUGACAAGGCAUGCGGCCAGUGGAACUGCCUUACAGUUACAGCCCGCCCAAGCGCGGUUGUUGCCUUGCCAUGAUUUCCGUGCAGUCUGCUAGCUUCGGCAGGGACGGUGCCCAUCAGUUCCCGAUGUUGACAAACCAUGCAUCCAGCCGCCCACACGUGCUCUCCGUUCGUCACAUACCGUACUCGAACUCCAAUGUCCGCAGAGCGUGUGCGCGAAAUCCACACGCCACACACGCAAGUGACAGCCGCCCGUCCUUGCACAGCAAGCAUCUCCGCGCACGGUCGCACGCUUCUCUAGCCCCAACGAACCGCAAACCACAAAUCAAGUCACACCCACCUCAGCAUUAGAAGUGCACACCCGCCUAUCGAAUGUCGGAUGAUGAUAAGGCAACAAGUAGGUCUAGAGAAAUGAAAGCUAGUAGGUCUACUGCACCCAUGCAUGGAUGGAAAGAAUCAAUGGACCUGUGGAUAUAGGAUCCGGCCUCCUCAAGGGUCCUCGCGCAUUUACUAAAGAGCCAAGGGGUCUAGUAUGUAAGAAUCAAUGCCAGUCUCAAGUCAAGCACACUGAUGCCGGUUCCUGGCAUCUGGAAUGCCAGAAGGGUCGGAGGAACUUGCACACACAGAACGUACACGUCGUGUCACUGACAGCCCACUCGAGUCUCGUAAACAGAAAACAUAGUGCCCGCUCCUGCAGCGAGCCAAGAUACGGUAACCUCGAUACUUCUUUGUGUGUCACCGCGGUACGCGCACACACACGGAUCCACGGGCUUCCUCUCCGCACUCCUUCUGUCACACCCGUGCGAUAGAUCGUUUCGGACGUCACCUCUCCUCCGUCCCAUUACGAACCUGUAGCCCCAGGCAGCCCUGCGUCCAUUGGCACAGCGCCCCUCGCCACCUGCCACCCUCCCGCUCAGCAAAUAAACGCACGCGCGAGAGCAAAACACCAGCAGGUCCAUAGUAUGGCCAAGGGAGGCUGCCGGUUCCCCGGUCCCAUACAGUCACACAUACAUCUUAUUAAGAAACAUCAGCAGGGUUUAGUUGGCAAGUCUCAGUAGAGAAAUAGACAUCCAUACAUCACCCAAUGCGCGUGGCAAUAUCGCACUGAGUGCUUGCUUGCGCUAGCAAUCCAGCAUCAAGUACGGCCUUUGACACUCCCGCUCGCUCACAUACGGUGAAAUAUCAGUACAGCACGGCAACACUUGCGCGAAUCAGUCCUGACUCCUGCGGUAAACGCCGACUACCGUAGCACGCCCUGCUGUCGUGCUGACAAUGAGAAAUGUGCGGCGGCACAGCCCUGCUGGUUCACUUGAUAGUGGGCCCGAUCAGUAGCUAGUAGCGGCGAUUUGCCUAGCUGUCUAUACUUGCACGCAUACGCUGCAGGCUUUGCCGCCUGCCAUUCAACACACUCCUCAUGCCCUGCUGCUGGCUCGCUUCGAUACUGUACCAUCCACACACGUACGUGUGAGGAGCCCCUCUUGCGCCCGGCCACCAGCACCAAAGCUGCGGCGGCUGCGGCUGCUACUGCUACUGCUGCAUCUUCAAAUGGCGAAGGCAGCAAGCCGCUGGCUGCAGGCUCAUGCAGCUGACGGCGUAACACGGAAGCCAAACGGAACGGAGCGGGCCUUGCCGCUACCAGGCCGCCACCGCUGCCGGUGGCGGGAAGCAGCCGCACGCGCGCUCCAACGCGGCAAACUCCUCCAGCUCCCUUUCCUGCUCGGCCCACGCCGCCGCCGCCAGCUCGAGCGGCCGCCGCUGGGGGUGCCGCCGGUACCGCUGGCAGCUGAUGCCGCCGCCGCCUGCUCCGCCAGGCCCUCCUUCAUCCAGUGUGCGAGCGACCCGAGGUCGAGCUCCUCCUCCUCCUCCUCAACGUCAUCCGCCCAGCGGCGGCCGCUGGGGGUGCCGCCGGUGCCGCUGACAGCUGCCGCCGCCGCCUGCUCCGCCAGGCCCUCCUUCAUCCAGUCUGCGAGCGACCCGAGGUCGAGCUCCUCCUCCGCCUCCUCGUGCGCCUCAACCUCAUCCGCCCAGCUACCGCUCGCGCCACCGCUGCUGCUAAUGCUGGCGCGAGGAGCAAUGCUGCUGCUGCUGCCGUCAGACUCUGACGCUGCCGCGGGCGCGGCCGGUGCGGCUUCCGCCUGCUGCUGCUCGGCCGCCGCGAGCUCCGCCAGUCCCUGCUUCACCCAGGGCGUCUGCUCAAAGAGGUCGCUCAGGUCGAGUCCGUCAGCCUCAUCCUCAUCAUCAUCGCCCCAUCGCGGCGUGGUCGAGCUGCGGUCGACGGUGGAGGUGGAGAUGGGGCUUGCAGCGGCGGCGGGCUUGGUCGGAGCCGCGAGCUUGGGCACCUUGGGCAGGCCGGGCGGCUUCUGCGGGCGCCAGUGGUUGUCGUAGGCAUGGCAAAGCUGGCAGGGGGCGCUCCUGCAGCCAGCAGAUAGGCUGGCAUAGCACCAGCGCAUGCAGGACUUGUGAGGAAAGCAGCAGGCGCUGGGGGCAGGCUCCUGCUGCUCCUGCUGGUGGGCGGCGGCGGAGGGCUCGCUCUCAUCAGAGCCGUGGCCUUGGCUGCGGGGCGUGUGGCGCCAGGCGUCCUGUGCAAACGAGAUCGGGGGAAAAGGAUAGAUGGGGGCGGACAAGCCGUGAGUGCACGGGACGAGGACAAGGGUCGGGGCGCAGAGGGCGGGACAAAGGACCGGGGGUCGGGGACUCGAGCCCCGGCAAAAAAGUCAGGCGCACCGGAAAGGCACGCGCUUUCGGUCAAAGCUGUUGACCGACGCAUUUUACGUGACAAUACAUGCAGCAAUAUGCAGCCAGUGUGGCCGCAGCAGCGCAAGAAGGAAGGCCGAGGAAGCCGAGCGCACUACCGUACUGGCCCGAAAUCUGCAACGCUAUCUAGCCCGCAUCAGAAGCCUAAUGCUUUGCAUGUGGCAUCGGAUACCCAUUGCAGUUGCUCAAGGCUCAAAAUGGCCGUGCCCGAACAUGAAUGGUGCUCACCUGCAUCGGUCGGCUCGGCUCGAAGUCAAGCCCCGGUGCACUUGCGCUUGACCGUGAUGUGGCCAUAGUAGCUCUUGACCGCAACAAGCACUCUUCGCGCGCAGAACUCGAUUCUGCUGCUAGCGCAAUUCUUUCGCUUGACGGAAACUUUUCCUCGCGGUGCCCGGGAGGGAUUCGCGCUAGGAGCUGCUAGUUCGUGACAGUGGUGGUGCUUGCCGCAGCUUUCAUGCGCAUGCGGUGGAAAUCGAGAGAGGUUGCGAACAGCCCUAGAAAUGCUCUUCUUUGCCGUCAGGUGCUCGUAGCUAAGCAGUGGGCGUAAAAGCUGUUUGCGAGAUGUCUUUGCAUCUGUUGAAUGUGCAAUAUGAGCACAGCGCGAAGCUUUUAUCCAGUGGCGGGGACAGUGUCUCGGGCGCCCAUGCAGGCGACACGCGCCCAAUCCCGAGCCUCCCUCCUCGCCUUUACCUUGUCCCUGGACCCGCGCCAUCCGUGUCCCGCUGUUCAAUUCCCGCGUUUCAUACCAGUUCCCCUCCCCUGCGCAGGCCGGUAACCCCUGAUCCCGCCGCUGCCGGGGAUGCAGCCGUGCAGGAUGAGGCCUGAUGAGGUUGACGGCUGGGGAAGUUGGUGUGGGGAAGUUGGUGUAGGUUGGCGGUGAUCCAGCGGGGUGGGUGCCGAUGUGCUAUAGCGGGCGCGAGGCUGUACACGUCAGGAUCUGGCGAGUGUACUGCUUAACACCUACCGCUACGCAGUACUCCGGCUUGCCCCUCCCCCCUCAGGGCGCUCCAUGCCGUGCGCCCCGGAAUGCGGUGUGGGGAUGGGGUGGGGUGGGAUGGACUGGCGGAUGGUGGAAGUAUCAUAUAGGUCUGCUGGGGGCUGCGAGCAGCCAUACUACCGGUCAUGAUAUUGCCUUCGGUAGCUCAGGGCGCCGCGGGCUGGGGGUGGGUAAGUGAGCGGGGAUGGGGGCUCGGACUCAGCGGGGGCACGGACUCAGGGCGUGGAAGCCAGCGAGAAGUGGGCGAGAGUAACGCCGAUGUGCCGGGUGAUGUGCGAGCAGAAUACAGAACGCGGCAUUCGUCAUUACGGGGAAACUAAAACAGAUAGCGCCAACCUUUUGCGCCUCGCGCUUUCGCGCGCAAUUUCCAGGAUCCUCCAACGCGUCGAUUCCUCCGUCUUGCGUCCUUCCGUGCCGGGAGCCUUGAUUAUCGAUACAAUUUGUGAUAUAUUGUAUGUUGCGCUGGAGCUCUAAUGCAAACGCUGCGCUUGUGCGUUUACCCCGCUCUGGCAUAGGGCUUGCGUUUUCAUAAUGUUACGCUUUGCAAUACAUACAUAGAAAGGCGCAUUAUUUGCACGACAAAUUCCGCUGCGCUCGGGUUUCAAGGUUAUAACUCAAGUCAAAACUGGAAUAACCGGGAGGGCCCCCCGCGGCGAGCUCGAUGCGACCGCAAUGGCUAUUGCCCCUCCCCCUUCGGGGGAAGGGGCAAGCCAACCUGGCUUUGUGAUGGCCCCCAAGCGUAGGUGAGGUAGGCGCACGGCGGUGACAAGGCAUGCGGCCAGUGGAACUGCCUUACAGUUACAGCCCGCCCAAGCGCGGUUGUUGCCUUGCCAUGAUUUCCGUGCAGUCUGCUAGCUUCGGCAGGGACGGUGCCCAUCAGUUCCCGAUGUUGACAAACCAUGCAUCCAGCCGCCCACACGUGCUCUCCGUUCGUCACAUACCGUACUCGAACUCCAAUGUCCGCAGAGCGUGUGCGCGAAAUCCACACGCCACACACGCAAGUGACAGCCGCCCGUCCUUGCACAGCAAGCAUCUCCGCGCACGGUCGCACGCUUCUCUAGCCCCAACGAACCGCAAACCACAAAUCAAGUCACACCCACCUCAGCAUUAGAAGUGCACACCCGCCUAUCGAAUGUCGGAUGAUGAUAAGGCAACAAGUAGGUCUAGAGAAAUGAAAGCUAGUAGGUCUACUGCACCCAUGCAUGGAUGGAAAGAAUCAAUGGACCUGUGGAUAUAGGAUCCGGCCUCCUCAAGGGUCCUCGCGCAUUUACUAAAGAGCCAAGGGGUCUAGUAUGUAAGAAUCAAUGCCAGUCUCAAGUCAAGCACACUGAUGCCGGUUCCUGGCAUCUGGAAUGCCAGAAGGGUCGGAGGAACUUGCACACACAGAACGUACACGUCGUGUCACUGACAGCCCACUCGAGUCUCGUAAACAGAAAACAUAGUGCCCGCUCCUGCAGCGAGCCAAGAUACGGUAACCUCGAUACUUCUUUGUGUGUCACCGCGGUACGCGCACACACACGGAUCCACGGGCUUCCUCUCCGCACUCCUUCUGUCACACCCGUGCGAUAGAUCGUUUCGGACGUCACCUCUCCUCCGUCCCAUUACGAACCUGUAGCCCCAGGCAGCCCUGCGUCCAUUGGCACAGCGCCCCUCGCCACCUGCCACCCUCCCGCUCAGCAAAUAAACGCACGCGCGAGAGCAAAACACCAGCAGGUCCAUAGUAUGGCCAAGGGAGGCUGCCGGUUCCCCGGUCCCAUACAGUCACACAUACAUCUUAUUAAGAAACAUCAGCAGGGUUUAGUUGGCAAGUCUCAGUAGAGAAAUAGACAUCCAUACAUCACCCAAUGCGCGUGGCAAUAUCGCACUGAGUGCUUGCUUGCGCUAGCAAUCCAGCAUCAAGUACGGCCUUUGACACUCCCGCUCGCUCACAUACGGUGAAAUAUCAGUACAGCACGGCAACACUUGCGCGAAUCAGUCCUGACUCCUGCGGUAAACGCCGACUACCGUAGCACGCCCUGCUGUCGUGCUGACAAUGAGAAAUGUGCGGCGGCACAGCCCUGCUGGUUCACUUGAUAGUGGGCCCGAUCAGUAGCUAGUAGCGGCGAUUUGCCUAGCUGUCUAUACUUGCACGCAUACGCUGCGGGUGUGCCUCACAUACCAUAAUACCCAGUGCUGCUUCUUUCGCAUAUAACACACGCUCAGCAUGCCCUGCUGGCUCACUUCGAUACUGUGCCAUCCACACACGUACGUGUGACGAGCCCCUCUUGCGAACGGCCGCCGGCACCACAGCUGCGGCGGCUGCGGCUGCUGCUGCUCCUGCUGCUGCUACUGCUACUGCUGCAUCUUCAAAUGGCGAGGGCAGCAAGCCGCUGGCUGCAGGGCUCAUGCAGCUGACGGCGUAACACGGAAGCCAAACGGAACGGAGCGGCCCUUGCCGCUACCAGGCCGCCACCGCUGCCGGUGGCGGGAAGCAGCCGCACGCGCGCUCCAACGCGGCAAACUCCUCCAGCUCCCGCUCCUGCUCAGCCCACGCCGCCGCCGCCAGCUCCAUCGCCAGGCGCAGGCGCGAGGGCAUCACAGCUGACUGCCACUCAUCACCCUGCUGCACCGCCGCGAUCGGCGGAACGACACAGCUGCCCAUGCUGCUGCCGGCGGCGGUGCAGGCCUCCUUGUCAGCGCUAUGCUCCUCCACUGCCGCCUCCACCAACUCCACCUGCUGCGGCGUCUCACUGCCUGCCGCCGCCGCCACCCAGACCAGACUGCAGCUGCUGGCGCUGCGGCUGGUGCGGGCGCUGUCCGGCACGGCGCAGCAGCACGAGCUGAGCGGCGAGUCAGGCGCGUCCAGCCGCUCAGUGACGACGGCCACCUCCUGCGCCGCUUCGGCCGCCGCCGGCACGCACUCGCCCUGGGCCUCUGCUUUCCCCAUCGCCGCCAGCUCCGCCGCCAUCCAGGGCGACAGCGAGGCGAGGUAGGCGCCGAAAUCGCCGGCCUCCUCCGCCUCAACGUCAUCCGCCCAGCGGCGGCCGUUGGGGAUGCCGCCGGUGCCGCUGGCAGCUGCCGCCGCCGCCUGCUCCGCCAGGCCCUCCUUCAGCCAAUCUGCGAGCGACCCGAGGUCGAGCUCCUCCUCCGCCUCCUCAUGCGCCUCAACCUCAUCCGCCCAGCUACCGCUCGCGCCACCGCUGCUGCUAAUGCUGGCGCGAGGAGCAAUGCUGCUGCUGCUGCUGCUGCUGCUGCUGCCGUCAGACUCUGACGCUGCC
rnacentral:lncRNA from 1 species